ACGCACGCUGGCGGCGUGCUUCACCCAUGCCAGUCGCACGGAAAGGCCCUGCUUUUGUGGGGUGCUCGAGUGGCGAACGGGUGAGUAACACGUGAGUAACCUGCCCUUGACUUUGGGAUAACUUCAGGAAACUGGGGCUAAUACCGGAUAGGAGCUCCUGCUGCAUGGUGGGGGUUGGAAAGUUUCGGCGGUUGGGGAUGGACUCGCGGCUUAUCAGCUUGUUGGUGGGGUAGUGGCUUACCAAGGCUUUGACGGGUAGCCGGCCUGAGAGGGUGACCGGCCACAUUGGGACUGAGAUACGGCCCAGACUCCUACGGGAGGCAGCAGUGGGGAAUAUUGCACAAUGGGCGGAAGCCUGAUGCAGCAACGCCGCGUGCGGGAUGACGGCCUUCGGGUUGUAAACCGCUUUCGCCUGUGACGAAGCGUGAGUGACGGUAAUGGGUAAAGAAACACCGGCUAACUACGUG
rnacentral:rRNA from 1 species